ensembl:lncRNA
GCUUUAGCCUCGGCGCGGCCAUCUUGUGUGUCCUCAUAUUGUACUCUUGCAAUAACCUGUAUCUGACACUUGCUUGGUUGGAUCCCAGUAUUUAAUGACAGUGAGUGAGAUUUAACAAUUUAUUGAACACAGUUUUUGCCGGCAAAGAAAAUGUGACUCAAUAUUCGUCGUAAUGAAUCCGACAGAAUGGAGUCUGAGUCGUCCAAUCAGAAAGCAAAUAACUGAUAUGCAAAUUAUAUUUUAUCAUCAUCACGUCAGCAGCGGUGGAACCGCUGAGGUCGCCAGCAGCGGUACAACACUGUGUGUUAAAACUCGGGUAGCUGUCAUUCGGAUGGAAGGACUGUGACGCUCAGCUGGCUCAGGGAAUCCCUCGCUGUAAACUCAAAACUAAAAGAUAAAUGAAUUGCUAACCGAGGUGAGAGUCACACAAUAACCCAUCCUUUCAGGAAAUUGCUCGAUAGAAAGCAGUGAUACCCGUGAAGUGCUUUUCAUGAGUAACGUUAUAUGGUUCUGAACUAACAGCGACUGUGCCUGUCAAGGCGUUAACGAUGGCUGAGCUCGUUGGGUAGGGAAUGGAACCUAGCAUCGCUUCUCUGUGAAGGUGCCGAGAAAAGAGUGGCACGGUUAUACAGUUGUUGUUGACUGUUUUUAUUGCUGCUUCAAAGAUGGAAACGUGGCAUUUGGGAAACUAGCUUGGUCUGUAACGUGUCUCUAUCCAAAGGACUACCUGCUCCUGUGUAACUCACUAACGUCACGACUCCACUCACUGACUGGAGCGUGGCAAGCCAGUUGCUGAGAGAUACCAGUAGGUCUACGGGGAAACACGUGUGCGAUUCUCCAGCAGGCAUUCGGUAAUAUAACGAACCCAGCAGUCUAUCUUUUUAAGCAAACUGAGAUUAGUUGUUUUAUCCUUACGGAAGGUUUGCUCCUUUCUGGGCGCACGCCACAUCAGUUCACAUCUUGAAUAUAUCUUUACAUGAUGACCGAUAUUUCAGCUGCUAAUGGCAAGGCAUUGUAGACCUGUUGGUGGGAGUCGCAUCAGAUGGCUCAGGAUGCUGUGGAGGUUAGUGGUCAUUUUGGACAUCUGUCGACACUCAGACGAGCUGGAUUAACUGUUGUUUCAACCUGUUGUGCAUUAUGAGAAACGAAGUGUACAUUUUAGCACUUAUAUCGACACGAGUUAUGUUUGGCGUGGUGUAAGAUAAAUAGUAUGUUAAAUUAUAUUAUUCGUUAGAACUUUGUCUCAAAGAACCAGUCAUGGCCGGAUACCGACAACAACGUGGCUUAGUCUGCACUUGAACUGGUAUUUGUUAACUUAAUGUAAUUCACUUGGAGUCAUUUACGAUAAAUCGGCUUGUUUGUUAAUUUCAACUCGAGAAAAAUGGGACCAUAUUAGUGAAGGGAACGCUUGGGGUGAUGCAUCAGGUCCUAUUACCGAGGGCAAAGGAGGCCGUGUUGACCCAUCCGUGCAAGCUGGUUAACCCUGUUAGCAAAAUUAGCGAGUUUCAGUAGUCUUUUUCAAAGUUGCUUUGAAACAACAUCUGUUGAUUCAUUCGCUCGGCUGGGUCGCCCUGGUAUUUAUUCAUGCAGUUUUUCGAGAUAAGCCACCCGAACACUUAAAAUGUCGACGUCUUAUUUAUUUGUGUGGGCCGCCAGGGUUAGCAAGUGCGGGUUGGAGAUACGCCACCAAGAAGCACAGUAGACACACGAUAAACAAAGACGCGGCUUGCUACGGUAAGUGUGAGGGAGGAAGUAAUUAAAACGAAAAGACCCAAACAUACGCGUUUGGAAUUUUUAACGCGGAAACUUGCAGUGAGGAGCCUUAACCUGUUGCUCUGUUGCUGUUAAGUUGUUGAUUAUUGAUACCCAGAGGUGUACUUUAUUCUUCAAGUGACAAAACGACAUACGACCUAUAUUUCAAUGGUCCUUAUAGGGUAUAGAUGUAACUUGGCUAUCUAUUUGUCAUCUGCGAGGUGAUUAGCAAGUUAUGGAACUGUUCUUUUUAAAUGUACCAGUGUGCCAAGAUAUGCUGACUUUAAUGUAAUGUGUUUAAUGCUCAAUUUUAGUU